rnacentral:rRNA from 1 species
UACGUAGGAAGCGAGCGUUAUCCGGAAUUACUGGGCGUAAAGCGCGCGUAGGUGGUCUUUCAAGUCGAAUGUGAAAUUUCACGGCUUAACCGGGAAGGGUCAUUCGAUACUGUUGGACUAGAGAACGGCAGGGGGAAGCGGAAUUCCCGGUGUAGUAGUGAAAUGCGUAGAUAUCGGGAGGAACACCAGUGGCGAAGGCGGCUUCCUGGGCUGUUUCUGACACUGAGGCGCGAAAGUGUGGGUAGCGAACAGA